UACGUAGGCAGCGAGCGUUGUUCGGAAUUACUGGGCGUAAAGAGUGUGUAGGCGGUGUUCCCAGUCUGUUGUGAAAUCUCCCGGCUUAACUGGGAGGGUGCAGCGGAAACUAGAAUGCUAGAGGGUGGGAGAGGUAAGCGGAAUUCCUGGUGUAGCGGUGAAAUGCGUAGAUAUCUGGAGGAACACCGGUGGCGAAGGCGGCAUCCUGGACCAAUAUUGACGCUGAGGAGCGAAAGCCAGGGGAGCAAACGGG
rnacentral:rRNA from 1 species